UACGUAGGGUGCGAGCGUUGUCCGGAAUUACUGGGCGUAAAGAGCUCGUAGGUGGUUUGUCGCGUUGUUCGUGAAAACCGGGGGCUUAACCCUCGGCGUGCGGGCGAUACGGGCAGACUUGAGUACUGCAGGGGAGACUGGAAUUCCUGGUGUAGCGGUGGAAUGCGCAGAUAUCAGGAGGAACACCGGUGGCGAAGGCGGGUCUCUGGGCCGAUACUGACGCUGAGGAGCGAAAGCAUGGGUAGCGAACAGA
rnacentral:rRNA from 1 species